UACGUAGGGCGCAAGCGUUGUCCGGAAUUAUUGGGCGUAAAGAGCUCGUAGGCGGCUUAGUAAGUCGGGUGUGAAACCUCCAGGCUCAACCUGGAGACGCCACCCGAUACUGCUGUGGCUAGAGUCCGGUAGGGGAGCGUGGAAUUCCUGGUGUAGCGGUGAAAUGCGCAGAUAUCAGGAGGAACACCAGCGGCGAAGGCGGCGCUCUGGGCCGGUACUGACGCUGAGGAGCGAAAGCGUGGGGAGCAAACAGG
rnacentral:rRNA from 1 species